CACCACCCAAUGGGAGUUUGUUCCCCAGCAGCCACAGACGGUGACCUCUGUGAUAAGGUUCACCUCCACACCGGUAGUGUUGGUGACGGCUACGGUGGGGGUCUACCCAGUAAGCACAAUGGUCUCCGUCUACAGUCAAUUCGUCACCACAACAGAUACUGUUAAAUACUGGCAGACUAUCACCGACGUGGCUGUCACUCACGAGAUCCAGACGGUCCCUGUGGUAUCUACACAAGAACUUGUGCAGGAUAUAGUAACUACCAUUACGCAAAUAGUAACUACUACGGUUACUUCCACCACCGCCGGAUACUAUGCUUAAAGAUGGAUUAUAGAUAAUUGGCACAAAGUAUUGUAAUAAACAUUUUAAAACGGUAAA